rnacentral:rRNA from 1 species
CGAACGCUGGCGGCAUGCUACACAUGCAUGUAGAAGGAAGCCCUUCUUCGCAGGGGUGGAGACUGGCGCACGGGUGAGUAACGCGUGGGAAUUUGCCCUGCGGUGGGGGAUAACCGCUGGAAACGGCGGCUAAUACCGCAUACGCCCUAAGCCUUACGGUUUGGGGGAAAGAUUUAUCGCCCUGGUGAGGAGCCCGCGUUGGAUUAGCUAGUAUGGUGGGGUAAAGGCCUACCAAGGCAUCGAUCCAUAGCUGGUCUGAGAGGAUGAUCAGGCACACUGGGACUGAGACACGGGCCAGACUCCUACGGGAGGCAGCAGUGGGGAAUAUUGGACAAAGGGCGCAAGCCUGAUCCAGCCAUGCCGCGUGAGUGAAGAAGGACCUAGGGUUUGUUAAAGCUCUUUCACCCGUGAAGAUGAUGACGGUAGCGGGAGAAGAAGCCCCGGAUAACUCCGUGCAGCAGGCGCGGUAAAACGGAAGGGGCAAGCGUAGAACGGAAUUACUGGGCGUAAAGGGCGCGUAAGAGGAGUGACAAGUAAGGGGUGCCC